AAGCAAAAGCUUCAAAAAAAAAAAAAUCUUCCAAUGAGAAAAUAUAUAUAUAUAUUAUUGCCACCGCCAACCUGUUACAUUGGGCAUCUCAUUAAUCUUUUCCGGAAUUGAUAAAAUACUAGAAUGAAAGCAAAUGAAGGGGAUAAAAGGGCCAACAAACCCAAUCAGUACCAACUGAUACGAAAACAACAUCAUAUCGAAACAACAUGACGACAUGUGAAGCGUAAACACAUUUGGGAUGCAAUUCUAUUGCAGCCUGCCACUGAAGUUAUCAACUGGAAACAUAUUUACUUCCCGUAUUUCAGGUCAUGCCACACAGAUUGCAACCGCAGCUUGGCAAAUUUCCACGAAAGUUCCUUUGGCCCAUCCGUGGAAAAUCCCAACACCAUCUAUAAAACUACAUUUUUUUUUUUUUUUUGGUCAAAUGAAAGAAUACAAGCACCAUGAUUAAGGACAGUACUAGAUCGCUGUUAAAAUCAUGGCCUAUAAAGCUACCUUACACUUUGCAAUGCCUCCAUUUCACAAAACUUGCAAUCAAAAGGUAGAUUGGUUAGCUGUCAAUCUGAGAAUCUUUCUUAUUUGUACAACUGGAUUGCUGAGUGGCUUUGAGAACGCCUACCUAGGCCAACUUUGUAUGAUAACAAUCACUAAACGGUGACCGACAUCAUACUUCAGCAAGCACCCUGUUCAUCCUCCUCUCAGGAAGUCCCCUGUACAAACUCGUCAAGGUAACAGCAUUAAUUCCUUCGCAUAUGAUAGUUUAUGAUGUGUUCCCUGAUUGGAUCACACUUGACCGGAGUGUCUUCCAUCGUUUACAAUAUCAAGUGGACCACAGGAAUCAACAUUGUCCCUCUGACACUCAUAUGAUGUGCAUGAACCGUCUUCGAUAUCAAAAUCAUUCCUCUUGUUACAGGAAAUCCCUCUGAAAAGUUUAAAGCCAACAUCACCACCACAAUCAUCAGUGGAAAUACCAACAUGUGCUUCUGAAAUAUCAUCCAAAUCUCCCUCAUACUCCUCAUCAGUUGCAA
rnacentral:misc_RNA from 1 species